GGUGUGCUCUACACCCUACGUAGUGCACUAUUCAGCAAACAGGAAGUGAUUUAGGAUUCGUCCCGUGGUCCCGCUCGAUCGCUAGCUGGGCUAACGCUGAGCUAAUCGGACUCGUAUCGUUUGUUUAUUUCAAUCGCACUUCAUGAAUAUUCAAAAGGGUUAUCGUGUCUCUUUUCAGACCUGCCAUCACGCUAAAAAAAAUUCGAAAAAACGAUUGGCUCUUAGUUUUUAACCAAGGGGCGGGGCUUACGUUCGCUGCUACGCCCUGUUCGUUCUUUGAUCCUGCUCUGGAUUCUGAUUGGUCGGAUCGGUGUUUGAUUCGAAUAUGUUACUGUUUCUACAGUAACAGCUCAUUCACGUGGACUUGUCACCGAGCUCUGUGUAUGUGUGUGUGUGUGUGUGUUAUCAGUGCAGUAGAUCGUCACACACUGCCACUGUGAGAAUGAAGAAAAAUGGGGUUUGAAUCGUCAGGGUGUAAUUAAGCAUAUCGUCAUGAUGAUGAUGAUCUGUAGGGAGAAGAUAAGCCUCACACACGCACACACACAGUCGAGUUAGCGUUUUUCCAUGCAUCUCUGACACAGAGAUUACGUUACAUAUAUGUGCACAUAAAUAAGAUGAAAUGAUUAUUAUUAUUAUUAUUAUUAUUGUUGUUAUAGAUAAUACUGCAGAGCCGUGAUGCUAUACUGUUAUAACGAUAUACCGCGCUAAUUACCUUUGAAAUGAUUCAAUAAUAUACCAUCGCUGUUAGCUGACGUUCAGGGACACGAUGACAUCACAAUAAAUUUUUUAAAAAAUCGAAAUCGGACAACGUUUCUUCCGCUGAGCGAUGAACAGUAAACUAAGGAACGAGACGCGACGGCGAUUAGAGGCGUUUACGCGUCCCGUUCCUCUCGUCUCACUGCGAUUCGCCUACGAUUACGCAUUUCUCUUGAUUAAAGAAUGCGUGCUGGUGUUUUUUUGUUAUCCGUUUAUCGCUACAUCCGGCGUGGGAGUUCUCGCUUACGUUCUCGCAGCGAUAAACGCUCGUUCCCUCGCCAGCGUCUUUUAUCGCCAUCCUACAACCGAUUUUCAGCACAUAAAAAUACCGUAAUGGCUUUUUUUUUUUUUUUUUUUUUAAUCUCACGGUUAUUUCAGUAAUCUUAUAAUAAAGCCACACUUUACUGAGAGGAAGCUGGGUAACAAAAGGGGAAAAGGGAGGAAAAAAGGGGGGCGGGGCUUGUGUAUCUUCUCUCCAUGGUUGAUGUAAGGUUAUAGCGAAUAUCAUAAUCCCUCCUCAGAGAAGCCUUUUCUCACACAAGAUGAUGACUAAAUUUCUAGUGUCUUAUCAGACACUACCAGACUGGAGCUGGUACAAGAGGAUUGUGGGAAAAGAGAAGGAGG
ensembl:lncRNA